ensembl:lncRNA
UUUUUGGAGGUCACUCCUGUUGGAGUUUUUCCUGAGAGCCUAUGACUUGGAUGAACAGCUUGCAAGUUAAGGUCACAAAUCCAUGAUCAUCUCUCAACAAAAAAAGAGUAUCUAACACGUCAUUAGACAGAAGCUACCAACUGUUUGACCUGAUCUUAAACAUGGAUUCAUCUCUAACAAAGAUCAUGUUAUUAAGGAAUAUCAUCUAUCAGAAGAGCCUUCAGCACCUCGGAAGGUGUGUGUUGUCUGUCUUCUCUGGGGUAUCAAAGUGAUUCUUCUCCAACCACAAGGAAGACAGCAGAUCAGUUCAAGGGCAAGGAUACUCAGGCCCAGAGUCAAUUCCCCUCAUCAAGGAACUUGUCACACUAGUUAUUAUUGAAAGCUACCUAUAAGAAAGUUUGAUAGCUCUUACAGAUACUUGCGCAUCAGGUGUUUUUGUUGCUCAUUUCCAGCUUACUCUGAGAAGAUUGCUCUCAUAAGGACCUGAAUCAAUGGUACCAGAUGAUUGUAUUGUGAAGGCCAGGUGCAGGAAAGAUACCAGAUUUGUGACUCUGAGGAACUUGGACAAAACGGGUGUACCCAUGGUUAUGGAUAUGGAAGUCUGGAUUCUACACAUGCUUUAUCCUGCUUUCUAGCAAGUAACAAAUAACCCAAAUAAGAUGAAUAGGUACUGAAGUGAACCUGACCUUAAGAUCCUCUGAUGGAUUUAGAAACUGGAAAAUGCUACCAGAAGAUACUGCCACAGUUUUUUAUUUGCAGUUGUGUAAAAUACUUAUUUAUAAUAGUUCCAUGUACCUGAGGGUAGGAACUUUCUCGGUUCUCUGUGGGCUUAAGACAGGUGCACUUUUGUGGUGAAGACCACUUCUGGCAUCUUAUUUGCCUGGUAUUGUGGGUACAAAAUAAAGCAACUCUGUUGGCCUGACGUGAAUUUCUUUUCUAUCUUCAUAGAAAAAAAUGACCAGACUAAACAAAAUAUGUGUUAAUUUCCAAGUUUUGCUAGAGAACUUUGACAGAAAGCUGUUCUUUCAAGAACAAGCUAGCAGCUAACACAAAUGGUAUGAGCAUGGAAAUGGGGCUAGAGUGGUGGAGAUCAUUCUCACAAGGCACUGUGUGUCAAAGAUUCACUGAAUUUUGGUUGGUGAAACAUGUUUUCUCUAAAUCACUUAAUACAAUCUACUUUCAUUGUGAGCAUGUGAGAAACAGAUUUAGCCUCUUGACCUCCAUGGCUUGGAACAGCCUGUGACAAUAACUUAAACUCUAAGGUAGAGAGAGCACUGGACUUCCUAGCAGCACAGAGCUCUAGCUACAAGGAAGUACACUGUGUGUGCUUUCUCUGAAGUGCAUGAUUGGGUCUGGAGAGAGACACUUUGACACAGACUGCUUUUGAGAACAGAUUGUAAAAGGCUUUGUUUCCAUUCCACUGCAAAAUGGCAAAAUACUUCAAAAUAUUGAAUAGUGUCAGGAAAUGGGCUUUCAACCUUUAGUUAAGCUUCCGUCAUCCCACUGCUCCAUUCAGAUUAAAUUAUUUUGAACAAAUAUUUUCAGGAGAACAGAGAAAAUAUAAAAAGUACUAUGUAAUACAUAGAAUGUUGUUCCAUAUGUCAGUGCUGUUUUACUUGUUAUACUCACUGUUAAGUUUAUGAGCAUCUUAUUGUUAUACAGCAUGAUGAAAAUGAAUUCUAAAUAGAGUAUCAAAAUUAAAAACAUAUGAUGUCUGUUGAC